rnacentral:rRNA from 1 species
AUUGAACGCUGGCGGCAUGCCUUACACAUGCAAGUCGAACGGCAGCACGGGAGCAAUCCUGGUGGCGAGUGGCGAACGGGUGAGUAAUACAUCGGAACGUGCCCAGUAGUGGGGGGAUAGCCCGGCGAAAGCCGGAUUAAUACCGCAUACGACCUACGGGUGAAAGCGGGGGAUCGCAAGACCUCGCGCUAUUGGAGCGGCCGAUGGCAGAUUAGGUAGUUGGUGAGGUAAAGGCUCACCAAGCAACGAUCUGUAGCUGGUCUGAGAGGACGACCAGCCACACUGGGACUGAGACACGGCCCAGACUCCUACGGGAGGCAGCAGUGGGGAAUUUUUGGACAAAUGGGCGCAAGCCUGAUCCAGCCAUGCCGCGUGCGGGAAGAAGGCC